GUAAAAACACCACGUUAAAAUGGUAGCUAGUUUCUUGAAUUUUUUCUAUUUUAUAGUUAUUAGUUGUAUGACUUUAAUUCUAAAACCUAUUGAUGGCGAUUUUCUUAAAAUAACAGAAAGAAAAGAAUUGAGGAAUAAACAUAUGAAAGGAAAUCUUGUUAAAUCUAUGACGACAGAGACCAGUAUAGAGUGCUUUAGACAAUGCAAUAAACUUACACAAUGUUCAUCAAUGUCUUACAACCAACAAAAUAAGAUCUGUUAUAUGUACUCUAGGUUAAACACAUAUUCAGAUGGAACCGUGGAAAAGGGGAGGAUGUACUAUUUGAAAGAUGUUAAAAACUGUCCGACAGAAGGAGGAUAUACGUAUAAAUCGAGUCCCAUGCUGUGCAUCAAGUUUUAUGAUGUUGAGUUAACGUACCAGGAAACUGUUUCUAGAUGUCAAUCAGAAAAUGCAUCACUGGUCAGGAUAGAUAGUCAUGAAGUACAAAACGUUUUGUAUUCAUAUUUAGCAUAUGAUGAACAUUUUACAGCCAGUAAAGUCUAUAUUCAAGGCAACAGAAUUCAGAAUACACCAGAAUGGGAAUUCGAUGAUGGAACCCUCAUAUCAUACAUGCCAUGGAAUCCGAACCAACCAGAAGCGUAUGAUCAAAUGUACUUAUGUUUCAAUGCUCAAAAUCAGGGCAUGUGGCAUGAUUGCAUUGGGACACAAUUAUUUAGAUUUGUUUGUGAAAUAUAUUUGUUCUAGUUUGAAUCUUAAAGGAGUUAUCAUUGUUACUGACGUUUCAAUAACACUUUCCGCAAAGUUAGUAUUUAAUCAAAUAUUUUUUUUGUUAACAAAAUAAUACUAUCAAUCAACUUUAUUUAACAAUUUGUAAUAUAUAGAACUGAUAAUAAAAACAUUUUCAAUAUACAUGUAUUACCAAUAGAUCAUACCAAGUAAACACGUUGCAAUAGAAGCCAUAGAAAUAAAACAGUGAAUUGUUA